rnacentral:rRNA from 1 species
GUGGGGAAUAUUGGGCAAUGGGGGAAACCCUGACCCAGCGACGCCGCGUGAGGGAAGACGGCCUUCGGGUUGUAAACCUCUUUUGUACGGGAAGAAGAGCGUGACGGUACCACACGAGGAAGUCCCGGCUAACUACGUGCCAGCAGCCGCGGUAAUACGUAGGGGACGAGCGUUGUCCGGAUUUACUGGGCGUAAAGGGCGCGUAGGCGGUCAUUUAAGUCAGCUGUGAAAUGGUUUGGCUUAACCGGAUCAUGCGGUUGAAACUGGAUGGCUGGAGUGCUGGAGAGGCAAGUGGAAUUCCCAGUGUAGCGGUGAAAUGCGUAGAUAUUGGGAAGAACACCGGUGGCGAAGGCGACUUGCUGGCCAGCAACUGACGCUGAGGCGCGAAAGCCAGGGGAGCAAACGGGAUUAGAAACCCGAGUAGUCC